AAAUUAUGUUAAGGGCAUUUCCUCAAGAGUCCCUUAAAACGCUCUAAUGCCUCAUACAAUUUUUUACUCUCAAGCUAAACAAAUGAAUUAAUAUCACUCUUCAUCAU